rnacentral:rRNA from 1 species
UACGUAGGGUGCGAGCGUUGUCCGGAAUUAUUGGGCGUAAAGAGCUCGUAGGCGGUCUGUCGCGUCGAUCGUGAAAACUUGGGGCUUAACCCUGAGCUUGCGGUCGAUACGGGCAUGACUGGAGUUCGGCAGGGGAGACUGGAAUUCCUGGUGUAGCGGUGAAAUGCGCAGAUAUCGGGAGGAACACCAAUGGCGAAGGCAGCUCGCUGGGACGGUACUGACGCUGAGGCGCGAAAGCGUGGGGAGCAAACAGG